rnacentral:rRNA from 1 species
CCUACGGGAGGCAGCAGUCGAGAAUCAUUCACAAUGGGGGAAACCCUGAUGGUGCGACGCCGCGUGGGGGAAUGAAGGUCUUCGGAUUGUAAACCCCUGUCAUGUGGGAGCAAAUUAAAAAGAUAGUACCACAAGAGGAAGAGACGGCUAACUCUGUGCCAGCAGCCGCGGUAAUACAGAGGUCUCAAGAGUUGUUCGGAAUCACUGGGCGUAAAGCGUGCGUAGGCUGUUUCGUAAGUCGUGUGUGAAAGGCGAGGGCUCAACCCGCGGACGGCACAUGAUACUGCGAGACUAGAGUAAUGGAGGGGGAACCGGAAUUCGCGGUGUAGCAGUGAAAUGCGUAGAUAUCGAGAGGAACACUCGUGGCGAAGGCGGGUUCCUGGACAUUAACUGACGCUGAGGCACGAAGGCCAGGGGAGCGAAAGGGAUUAGAUACCCCAGUAGUC